GACGAACGCUGGCGGCGGGCUUAACACAUGCAAGUCGAACGGAAAGGCCCUGCUUGUGUGUGGUUCUCGAGUGGCGAACGGGUGAGUAACACGUGAGUAACCUUCCCUGUACGGUGUGAUAACUGCAGGAGACUGGGGCUAAUACCUGAUAGGAGCUCCUGCUGCAUGGGGGUGGUUGGAAAGCUUCGGCUGAGGGGGAUGGAGUCGGGGCUUAUCAGCUUGUUGGGUGGGUAGUGGCUUAGGAAGUCUUUGACGGGUCGCCGGCCUGGGAGCGUGACCGGCCUCCUUGGGCCUGCGGUACGGACCAGUGUCCUACGGGAGGCAGCAGUGGGGAACAUUGUACAGUGGGCCGACGCCUGAUGCGGCAACCCUCCGAGCGUGAUGCCGGCUUUCGGGUUGUAAACCGCUUUCGCCUGUGACCAUGCGUGAGUGACGUUACUGGGUAAAGAAGCACCGGCUAACUACGUG
rnacentral:rRNA from 1 species